CCAUCACCAUCGGGUAGAUGUUGUUUGAGUGCGGAGGCCGACCCAAACCGCCGAUGUUGGUCGUGCCCAUCACCUUCUGGCAGAUGUUGUUUGAGUGUGGACAUCAGUGUUACUGAGGCGGCAGACCCAAACCGUCGAUGUUGGUCAUGCCCAUCGCCUUCGGGUAGGUGUUGCUUGAGUGCGGAGGCAGACCCAAAUCGACAAUGUUGGUCGUGCCCAUCGCCUUCAGGUAGGUGUUGCUUGAAUGCAGACGUCAAUGUUACCGAUGCAGACCUAAACCGUCGGUGUUGGUCAUGCCCAUCGCCUUCGGGCAGGUGUUGUUUGAGUGCGGAAGCAGACCCAAACCGCCAGUGUUGGUCAUGCCCAUCACCUUCUGGUAGAUGUUGCUUGAGCGUGGACACCAGUGUUACUGAGGCAGACCCAAAUCGUCGGUGUUGGUCAUGUCCAUCUCCUUCGGGUAGGUGUUGCUUGAGUGCAGAGGCGGACCCAAAUCGCCAAUGUUGGUCGUGCCCAUCGCCUUCGGGUAGGUGCUGCUUGAGUGUGGAUACAAGUGUUACCAAUGUAGACCCAAACCGUCGAUGUUGGUCAUGCCCAUCACCUUCAGGCAGGUGUUGCUUGAGUGCAGAAGCAGACCCAAACCGCCAGUGUUGGUCAUGCCCGUCACCUUCAGGUAGGUGUUGCUUGAAUGCAGACAUCAGUGUUAUAGAGGCAGCAGACCCAAACCGCCGGUGUUGGUCAUGCCCAUCACCUUCCGGCAGGUGUUGCUUGAGUGCAGAAGCAGACCCAAACCGCCAAUGCUGGUCGUGCCCAUCGCCUUCAGGCAGGUGUUGCUUGAAUGUGGAUGUCAA
rnacentral:lncRNA from 1 species